AUAUAUAUAGGUUGGUACACUAUCGGUAGCACGAAGUUCUCCGUGCUAUCAAGUUGUUUUCAAUCAUGCGGCUUCCAAAUCAACAAUCGACUCCGUUAGACUUGAUCUACACUAUUGAAAGUAUUUGGAAACUAAAUUUUAUAAUUUUUCGGCAUUAUUUACCUAUCAAACAAGUAGUCAAAAAAUGAACGGCUGAAAAUAAAAAUCUCAUAAAAAAAUGAUGAUAAAAGACUUAAAUUUAAGAUAAGAGGUAUUGAUCUUACUCUAAAUAGUGAAAAGAAUUUUCUAUAAAAAUUUCAUUAAAUUUGGAUUGUUUUACGCCGUUAAAUUCACAAACGCAUCACAUCUAUCGUUAAAAUUGUCAAUUUUGAGACCUUUUGAUCACUAACCAAAUGAUGUCGAAAAAUUAUGAAAUUUAGUUUCCAAAUAUUUUUAAUAGUGUAAAUCAAGUCUAACGGAACCGAUCGUCAAUUUGAAAGUCGCAUCAUUGAAAAUAACUUGGUAGCACGGAGGCCUCCGUGCUACUGACAGUAUACCAGCCUAGCUCUCUCUCUAU
rnacentral:lncRNA from 1 species